CGCCGCUCCCGCACGGACGCGUGCUGCCGGAGCCCUGAGCCCAGGCGUGUUUCGCUUCACCGCCAGCCUUUCCCGAUUGUGUAGCAAUUUCCUGCACGUAGAAACAUUUCAUCCUGGAGGGAGGCUCCUUGGAAAGUUGUAACCUGAAAUACAGAACAAUUAGGCAGUUGGAAAGCUCUUUAAGGCGCAGGAAGUCAGCUCCCCCACGGCUCAGGAAGUUCCUGAAACCUACAAGAUUCACGAGGCCCUUCUUCAAGAUCUACGAAAAAUGAGCGCUGUCCUCAGACCUCCAUGACUUCACCCCUGCACUCAAGGAUUCGGCUUCGUCUUGCAGGAUCAAGCAACACCUUGCCAUGAUUGGCCCAACCCGCAGCUGACCCUGCUCCUUGCUCAAGGCUUGAUCCCGGCCCUCCCUGGCUGCUGCGCCGAGUAGCCGGCCCUCUGGUCGGCUUCCCACAGCCAGGCUCUUGCAAUGAGAGGCGUGCUGGUGGAGCCAUGACGCGGGCAUGCUUCGCUUCGCGGUGGUGUGCCAGAGCCUAAUGCCACUGCCAAUGAACUCUAGACGCAUGUGCCACCUUGUGCAUCUGGAUUUACGCCCUCCUUGGGAAAUUCUAAACUGAAACAUGGACUCAUUAUGAAGGUCAAAAGCUCUCUAAGGCUCAGGAAGUCAGCACCUCCAAUGCUCAGGAAGUUCCUAAAACAAGAUUCGCAAGGCCCCUCAAGAUGUCUAUGAAAGCUGCAAGUCCCUGCCACUGGCUGCCGGGUUCUCAGGACCACCAGAAGCCAGAACUCCCCAGAUGUCCUCUGCUUGCUGAGACCAGGGCCGCCCCACCGCCCAGUGUGUGUCCUCUGGAAACCUGAUGUCACGUGACCUGUGCACAGGAGAGCACAGCAAGCCCAGGAGCUCUGAAGACCCAGGGCAGCGGGGACAGGAGGAAGGGGGUCACCACUGAGGCCUGCGCACCUCUGAGAGCGGAUCGAGUUUGAACUCCUCCCGGAGUCAUGUCAGACUCCUGGCGGCCCUCAGCCCGGAGGUGCAGCGAGCUGAGCCCCUCGGCAUCGGGACCGCUGACCGGCCAGAGCAGCUGGUCUCAGGCAGCGGCAGGCGCCCUGGAGUCACAGUGGAGAUAAAGGGACUCCCCAAGAGAGCUUUCCCCUCCCAAGAAUGUGCUUAGAAGAGAACAUUGUUUUCUUACUCUUCCUUAGUAAAUAGUCUGUCACCUAAAUGCUCAGUGAAAGGGGCGGUCUUCAGUGUAGUCAAGCAUUUAGCUUCUAAAACUUUAAACGUGAGAAAAAUAUAUACUUUGAAAGUCAUAUUCUUAGGGAAAGAGUAUACUGUACACACAUUCAUAAUCUAUUAAAUGUAAUCAUGAGCUGAUUUAAAGUAAGCGCACUUGUGGGAGCUGGAGAGAAGGCUUAGUGGUUAAGGCACUUGCUGGCAGAGCCAAAAGACCAAGGUUCGACCCCCCAGUACCUGGGUAAGCCAGCUACACGAGCUGGCUAAUGGGCCUGGAGUUCGUUUACAUUGGCUAGAGGCCCUGACAUGCCCGUUUUCUCUCUGUCUACCUGCCUGUUUCUCUAAUAAAUAAACUAGACAAUAAGUGCACUAGUCUAGUAGCAGCUGGCUGAUGUCACAAUGUGCAUUGUGAGGUCCCUGAAAGCUCUAUGACAUAUCUGAGAUAUCUACUCCCCUCAGUGCUGUUUGGGCCAGUGGGAGACUUGGUGAUUCACCAGACGCUCACACGUAGCAGUCAGUGCUAGUUUUCGCGAAUACUUGACUAUGGGAAAUUUUUUCAGUUUUGGAGGUGAGUUCACACUGUCUUUGGGUGCUUUCCCUUUAAGUAGACUGGACUGUGUCUUUCAAAUACUUUGUUUAAACAUUUCUUCUGGCUCAGAUGGUGAUAGUUCCAUUUUAUACUGUGAUUUAUUCCUUUAUCAUUGUAUUUUUAUUCACUAAAUUACAUGUACAUUAUUUCUAAUACUGUGAAAGGGCUUAAGUGUGUGUAUUUUGUGUUAAUGAACUAAAAACACUCAGUUGAUGAACAAGAAUGUAAAGAUUCGCUCUUGAUUUAUACUGAUGUGUGAUAUGUACAUAGUUUCAAUGACCAAUGAGAUCUGUUUUCAGAUAAUUGUGAAUAUCUGCUUGUCUGUACUUGAAGCUUUAAUAAGAGUUGUUAGUGCUAAUCCUGUUGUCACAGGCUCUGUGGCUUGGUUCUCCUGACCAGUCUGAGCUUUCAGAAACUUGAACCCUGCCUGGCCUUUCCUGUCGUUUGACAAUGAGCUAAAUGUAGAGGCCCUUAUAUUUGUGAGUAAUUAAUACAAGUAAUAUAGUGGGUUGUCACAGGUACUAGAACUUUUUUUUUAAUAUAGAGUCUCAAAUGAUGGAGAGAAUUGUUGUGGGGAGGAUGAAAUUACCAAGGGUUAUUGUCUAUAAUCAUGGAAGUUGUCAAUAAAAACAUAAAUUUAAAAAAAAGAA